rnacentral:rRNA from 1 species
AAAUAGAACUUUGCAGAGAGAGUUAAGAGGGCGUGAAACCGUUAAUUGGCAAACGAAUCGGAGCCACGAAGUCGUUUCGCUGAUAGUUGGGCUGAGCUCAGCAUUUGUAAUAUUGUUCAAAUAUUGCAAGUGUGUAUUCUCUAUGGUUCAACCAUCUUUGUAAGCGUACACUGCAACCAGUUAGACGAUUGUUGAUGGGCACAGUGGGUUUAAAGUUUGCGCAAGUAAGCUUUUUAUUCACACAGCAUUUGUUUGCUACGAGAGGUAGCGAUUUGACUUCGUGAAUGCGAAUGCUCGAAUUGUUGGCUCGUAGUAAGUGAACUAUUAACAAAUACUGACUGGCAAAAUGAAAAUCACCUUCAUUCGAAGUGUGUUGUUUAGACAAUGCGCUUGCAAUGUACAGUGUUACACAUGUUAGCGCGUAAGUUUUAAAGUUCAGUAUUUUUGAAUUUAGACUUGCCUGUUACCAAUGGGGCAACUCUUGGUGCAAGUAUAGCUUCUAUCUAAUCGGAUAUUGACUUGGCUUGCGCUUUGUCUAACUGUGAAACGAUAAAUGCUGUGCGUUAGUUGAGUUGCAAUUUGAAUUGGCAGUGAGUAGGUCGGCUUUCCGAACGACCCGUCUUGAAACACGGACCAAGGAGUCUAAUUAGGCAUCAGUCGAUCGGUCUUGAUAGGCCAGACUGGGCGGCUUCGGCCGUCCGAUUGAAGGCGCAAAGAAAUCAAAUCAUGUGAUCAUGGCGGGCAACAACAGCCUCCAUGCGCAACAUGUGCCUGUUCAAUUGAGUGUGCUUGCACCUCUAGAGCGGAGCAAAGAGAUGCCUGAUUGGUACCCGAAAGAUGGUGAACUAUGCUUGGGCAAAUUGAAGCCAGAGGAAACUCUGGUGGAGGAUUGUAGCGAUUCUGACGUGCAAAUCGAUCGUCAGACCUGAGUAUAGGGGCGAAAGACUAAUCGAACCAUC